UACGUAGGGUGCAAGCGUUGUCCGGAUUUAUUGGGCGUAAAGAGCUCGUAGGCGGUUUGUCGCGUCGGAUGUGAAAACCCAGGGCUCAAUCCUGGGCCUGCAUUCGAUACGGGCAGACUAGAGUAUGGCAGGGGAGACUGGAAGUUCCUGGUGUAGCGGUGAAAUGCGCAGAUAUCAGGAGGAACACCGGUGGCGAAGGCGGGUCUCUGGGCCAAAACUGACGCUGAGGAGCGAAAGCGUGGGGAGCGAACAGG
rnacentral:rRNA from 1 species